ensembl:ncRNA F59G1.13 ncRNA
CAAUACCUGAGUGAUAACCGGGAGGUUUUACUUUCACUAUUCACAGCGCCAGUCGUUCAUGUCCUGCCCAUUCCGUAGUUUGAUAAUAAUCGAACUGUUC